UACGAAGGGGGCUAGCGUUGUUCGGAAUUACUGGGCGUAAAGCGCACGUAGGCGGAUCGAUCAGUCAGGGGUGAAAUCCCAGGGCUCAACCCUGGAACUGCCUUUGAUACUGUCGAUCUGGAGUAUGGAAGAGGUGAGUGGAAUUCCGAGUGUAGAGGUGAAAUUCGUAGAUAUUCGCAAGAACACCAGUGGCGAAGGCGGCUCACUGGCCCGAUACUGACGCUGAUGCGCGAAAGCCAGGGGAGCGAACGGG
rnacentral:rRNA from 1 species